UCAUAACUUUUUUACAAUUGUCGAGUUGUAACUAACAAGUGUCAAACAUGCAUUGGCCGUAAAAAACAAAUAGUAAAUAUUACCUGCCACAAUUGUAUUUAACGAGUGUGUAACAUGCACUGAUUAUAACUGACAUAUCGUUGUUCGAGUAUAGAUAAAGGGUGUUUAACAUGCACUGGUCAUAAUUGACACAUAGUCAUUUAUUGCUUACAACAAUUGUCUCACAUGCAGUGGUUGUACCAUCACAUAUUCAGCUAUUGGGGCCCAAAAAUAUCACACACCAACCCAACCAAGUCUCAAGGCCCAAUUGUCAUGCAAAGCCUACAUUCAAGCCCAAACACAUGCCAAGGCACAUGAUUGAUGAAGGAUAUACUUACAAACAUGUCAUGCCACGAUGAUUAAGCCAGAUAUUCACGCCAUGCUCAUGCUUAUUCAUCACGCCAUGCUUCCUUAGCCACAAUUCAUGCUAAGCCCAAGUCACAUAUUCGGGGCUUGUCAAGUGGAAUGUGGUGUGGAUGGUUACAGAAGGUUAUCGGGCAUACGUGGAAUCAAGGUCAUGGAAUACUUUGGGCUGCUUAGGGGCCCAAAUAUCCAAGCCCAUACCCUUUGUAUUUCACGCAAACAUCAUUAAGAAAGAAUUAGCCUAGUUUACCCAUUUCCCUAGCAAGCCAACUCAUUUAGUUAGGAUUAAACUAGAUUCUUGCAUUAAAUGCAUGCUAAGCCCAGCAAGUCAAGCAUUUAAUGCUGAUUUCCCCUUCCCAACCUACACAGACAACCAACGUGCGAAAGCCAUAAGGAGCGCUACCAGAAGUAGCGCUUGCGGAAGGUUGUCCUAGGAAAGCCGCGUUCUCGGGAAGAAGCAAACUACAGGUCUCAACAGUGCAACUAUCUUACAACAAAAUGGGAAUAAUAUGAGGGUUAGGUAGAAAAGAGGGGAAGACCAAGCCACAAAGGGAGAUUCCUUUGAAGCCUAUAGAAGAACCCUUCACUUACAUAAGAAGGGAAAUGCCAUUACAAAAAGGGAGAUUGGAAGAACAUAGAGAGGGAGACAAAGAAAACGUAAUGAGAGAGAACCACCCAGGAGGAAGCCUAAAAAGUUCCACUUAGCCCAGAAGCAUACUCCAAGCCCCAAGUAUCACCAUCUAUACAACCUUAGUAAUUUCCAUAGUUCUGCAUCAAACAUCCCCAACCAUUAGAAACUUUACUAUCACCCUAGGAAAGCCCAGAUUAUCCAGUAAAUAAUGCCAUGCAACCUUGCAAAUAUCUUCUCUCUCAUGUAAACUAAUAAUCUUCUAGCUUCCACACCACGCUUCACUUAAGCAAGUCAUUAUCUUGAUUAUUCAUGCUAUCUUCGAGCCGUUGAUGUUACCAGGGUAUUUCCUAAGACAAGCUAACUCUUUCGAGAUAUCUCGGGACUUGUUACGAAU
rnacentral:lncRNA from 1 species